AAACCAAGAUACCGCUCCCACCAAGGUAUCCGCCGGGUUAUUACGAACAUUAGUCUAAAAGCCAAAGGAAUUGGCGGUGCUUUAUAUCCCUCUAGAGGAGCCUGUCCUGUAAUCGACACUACCCGUUAAACCUCACCCCCUCUUGCCUUUAACCGCUUAUAUACCACCGUCGUAAGCCCACCCUUUGAGGGACAUGAAGUAGGCUCAAUUGGCAUAGCCCAGUAAGUCAGGUCAAGGUGUAGCAUAUGAGGGGGGAACAGAUGGGCUACAUUUACUGUAAAAGUACACACGGAGGGUGUAUUGAAAUAUACACACUGAAGGAGGAUUUAGAAGUAAGCCGGGAAUAGAGAGCCUA
rnacentral:rRNA from 1 species